ACGCACGCUGGCGGCGUGCUUCACACAUGCAAGUCGAACGGAAAGGCCCUGCUUUUGUGGGGUGCUCGAGUGGCGAACGGGUGAGUAACACGUGAGUAACCUGCCCUUGACUUUGGGAUAACUUCAGGAAACUGGGGCUAAUACCGGAUAGGAGCUCCUGCUGCAUGGUGGGGGUUGGAAAGUUUCGGCGGUUGGGGAUGGACUCGCGGCUUAUCAGCUUGUUGGUGGGGUAGUGGCUUACCAAGGCUUUGACGGGUAGCCGGCCUGAGAGGGUGACCGGCCACAUUGGGACUGAGAUACGGCCCAGACUCCUACGGGAGGCAGCAGUGGGGAAUAUUGCACAAUGGGCCGAAGCCUGAUGCAGCAACGCCGCGUGCGGGAUGACGGCCUUCGGGUUGUAAACCGCUUUCGCCUGUGACGAAGCGUGAGUGACGGUAAUGGGUAAAGAAGCACCGGCUAACUACGUG
rnacentral:rRNA from 1 species